rnacentral:rRNA from 1 species
UACGUAGGGUGCGAGCGUUAAUCGGAAUUACUGGGCGUAAAGCGUGCGCAGGCGGUUAUUUAAGUCAGGUGUGAAAGCCCUGGGCUUAACCUAGGAAUUGCGCUUGAGACUGGAUAGCUUGGAGUGCGGCAGAGGGGGGUGGAAUUCCACGUGUAGCAGUGAAAUGCGUAGAGAUGUGGAGGAACACCGAUGGCGAAGGCAGCCUCCUGGGCCAGCACUGACGCUCAUGCACGAAAGCGUGGGGAGCGAACAGG